CAGCCGCCGCGGUAAUACGAAGGGGGCUAGCGUUGCUCGGAAUUACUGGGCGUAAAGGGCGCGUAGGCGGACAGUUCAGUCGGGGGUGAAAGCCCGGGGCUCAACCUCGGAAUUGCCUUCGAUACUGGCUGUCUUGAGUAUGAGAGAGGUGUGUGGAACUCCGAGUGUAGAGGUGAAAUUCGCAGAUAUUCGGAAGAACACCAGUGGCGAAGGCGACACACUGGCUCAUUACUGACGCUGAGGCGCGAAAGCGUGGGGAGCAAACAGGAUUAGAUACCCCAGUAGUCCCUGUCUCUUAUAC
rnacentral:rRNA from 1 species